GAAGACUAGAUUCCCAAUGACUGCUGGCCCCAAAAUCUAUUAUAUCUGCAAGUCAUCAUUGAAGAGAGAAUAAAAUAGACUUACAAUUUCACUUCCUUUUGCCCGAGACAGAAGUGAAAAGGAGAUUACAAAAAAAAAUCUUUUAUAAAACCAAAAUAAUGGUGAAUAAAGAAAUCCUGGAGCAGUGAUCUGUAUUCCUUAUUUCAUUUAUCAUUGGGCCAGGGGAGGGAGAAGUUAGACAUAUCUAUAACAGCGUAGGUGUUCAACAAAUCAUUACCCUUUAGAUAGGAAAAAUUAGAAGUUAAGAUAAUAACGAUAAAUGCAUGUCUCUUCCAAACCAAAUGAUAAUACUUGACAAAUUGCUAUUGCAAUAUCUCUGAAUUCUCCAUUUUAGUAACGGAUGCAAAAUUCCAAAAGUACUUAAGUUUCUCUUUUCUCCUACUUAACAAACAAUAACUUAGAAGCUUUAUCACAAUGAAUCUAAUACUUCAAGAACUCUAAUGCUAAAGUUUCUUUAGAAUUCUAUAAGAUUGAAUGGUAAACUCCCAUGAAAUAUAAGAUGCAAUCCUUACACCGUGAAGACAGUGAAAUUUAACAAGUUUGAUUCUUUGAGUCCGCUGUGAUUAUGACAGAGCAACCAGUCCGAGUAGGUAUAAGACAACAAAUUUAUUAAGCAAAGCAAUUUGCAUAAAAGGAAACCAUUAUUACCGAGUUUAAAAAUCAAAUGAAACAAUUUUGAAUCUAACACACUCAAAAGAAAAUACAAUUUUCAGUUAAAACCCAAAAUCAUAAGGAUUUUCAUAGCUGAGCCUCGCCUUCAGUAAGGCCUCAUAUGCAGAAUGAGUUGUAAUAGUUUUAACUGAUUAAUAGGAUUUGUUAUGCUUUAAUUGAACUUCGCUUUACAGCAUCAUUUCACCAGGCAAAUAAUGCCCAACAAUGAUAUAAUUAAUGUAAAAGAAAUGAGUGACUAUGCAAUAACUAUAAGAACAAAGUGGGUUAACAGGUAACUCAGAGGACACUUGAGAAAUAUGAUAAGAAAUUUCAGGCAAAUAAAUAUAGAAAAAUAAACAGGAAAUCUACUAAGGAGCACUUAUGUGCUGGGCUGGCAAAUGGAACGUUUACUGUCAAAAGAAGAAAAAUGCAUUUAUGGUGAGUUAAAGAAAAUGGAGAGCACUUAAAACUUGAAAAGGGACGUUAAACAAAGAUAAGCAGUACUAGUAAGUCAGCCUAGAAUUAAGCGAAGAAUUCAUAAUACUGUAAGGUUAAAGGUAACAAAAGAAGAUAGAUUUAGAUUCCAAUAAACAGGGAACACCAUUUUUUCGACAAGUCCGCUAAAAAGGAUUCAAUAUCAGAACCAAAAAAGGAUAGAAGAAGAGAAACAGAGAAGAAACUUUACCUGUUUUAACUUUUCUUACAGAUGCCUAAACCUCUGUCUUUUCUCCAUACAAAGAUGAUGCUGAUCAGAGGACAUAAUAUCCCUACCACAUCUGCAGAUAUACUAGUUAAGGAGUGACAAUUUCCCCAAAGGUCCUAACCAGUAGGUUGCGCAUAAAAAAAGUCCUUCUAAGUACCUUAGUUUGCAAGUUAAUUAGAACUUGCAUACCAGCUUUCUGUUUUGUAAGUGAUGCUACAUGCAUAAACAUGA
rnacentral:lncRNA from 1 species